rnacentral:tRNA from 1 species
GUAGUGAUGAUGCAGUGGUAGAAUUCUCACCUUCCACAUGGGAGACCUGGGUUCAAUUCCCUGCCAGUGCA